rnacentral:rRNA from 1 species
AGACCCGAAACCCGGUGAUCUAGCCAUGGGCAGGUUGAAGGUUGGGUAACACUAACUGGAGGACCGAACCGACUAAUGUUGAAAAAUUAGCGGAUGACCUGUGGCUGGGGGUGAAAGGCCAAUCAAACCGGGAGAUAGCUGGUUCUCCCCGAAAGCUAUUUAGGUAGCGCCUCGUGAAUUCAUCUCCGGGGGUAGAGCACUGUUUCGGCUAGGGGGCCAUCCCGGCUUACCAACCCGAUGCAAACUGCGAAUACCGGAGAAUGUUAUCACGGGAGACACACGGCGGGUGCUAACGUCCGUCGUGAAGAGGGAAACAACCCAGACCGCCAGCUAAGGUCCCAAAGUCAUGGUUAAGUGGGAAACGAUGUGGGAAGGCCCAGACAGCCAGGAUGUUGGCUUAGAAGCAGCCAUCAUUUAAAGAAAGCGUAAUAGCUCACUGGUCGAGUCGGCCUGCGCGGAAGAUGUAACGGGGCUAAACCAUGCACCGAAGCUGCGGCAGCGAACGUAUCACUUAAAGCGAUUCAGCGGGUUACGAUUGACGGAGCGAAGCGACGUCAAAGCGUAUACAAAGUCGAGUCGGUUUAAGGAUACGUUCGUUGGGUAGGGGAGCGUUCUGUAAGCCUGCGAAGGUGGCCUGUGAGGGUUGCUGGAGGUAUCAGAAGUGCGAAUGCUGACAUAAGUAACGAUAAAGCGGGUGAAAAGCCCGCUCGCCGGAAGACCAAGGGUUCCUGUCCAACGUUAAUCGGGGCAGGGUGAGUCGACCCCUAAGGCGAGGCCGAAAGGCGUAGUCGAUGGGAAACGGGUUAAUAUUCCCGUACUUGGUGUUACUGCGAAGGGGGGACGGAGAAGGCUAUGUUGGCCGGGCGACGGUUGUCCCGGUUUAAGCGUGUAGGUGUGUGUUCCAGGUAAAUCCGGUUCACUUUAACACUGAGGCGUGACGA